rnacentral:rRNA from 1 species
UACGUAGGGUGCAAGCGUUAAUCGGAAUUACUGGGCGUAAAGCGUGCGCAGGCGUUGAUGUAAGACAGAUGUGAAAUCCCCGGGCUCAACCUGGGAACUGCAUUUGUGACUGCAUCGCUGGAGUACGGCAGAGGGGGAUGGAAUUCCGCGUGUAGCAGUGAAAUGCGUAGAUAUGCGGAGGAACACCGAUGGCGAAGGCAAUCCCCUGGGCCUGUACUGACGCUCAUGCACGAAAGCGUGGGGAGCAAACAGG